GAACCUGAUACUUAGCUCUUGUAGCGUGGAAGAACCGAAGCUUUGAUGACCCCUUGAUGAACGAAGGCUUCGAGGAGAAUACCGUAGGCGUGACGCAAAUCCUCGAAGCUUCUUACAGAGAGAAGAACACGUAGCAGAAUGUUGAACAAUCUCUAGAUUGAGAGAGAAAUUAGAAGAACAAACCAGAUCUGAGAAGAACAGGCCGAAUCUGAGAAAGGAACUCAGAGAUUAGUAACCUAGACCAGAGAAACCCUAGAAACGAGAGGAAUCACAAAACUGACCAAUCAAUCGGUGGAAAUGAUGGAUUAAAUGGUAGAAAUCAAAGAACAAAUGGUAGAAAGUGUUUCAAUCGGUGGAAAACGAAGAAAAUGAUGAAACAGAUGUAGAUCGAAGAGUUUAGUGUUUGAGCAAAGGAAAUCUGAGUAGAGAACGGUGUUUCUGUGGUACAAAUGGAGAGGAAAUGAUAUUGAAGGAGUGAAGAAGCUUAUGGCUGAUGAAGGUGAACUCUCGAGAGCGAGAGCGAGGAAGGAGAUGCUUCUCAGGCUCGAGAGAGAAAAUGAAGUGCAAAUCUGAUGCGCGAAAUGAAAAAUGAGAAGCUAGUGAUAUGUAUAGCUUCUGAGACGUGGACGAAUGGAGACGUGGUAGCUCUGUUGACACGUGCCACAAAGAUGAAGCAGAGUGGUGGAAAAGUGACGUCGUAGAGGGAGAGAAGACCUUGGGGUGGAAAAUGAGAGAGAUGAAGUGUGCCUUGGAAGGUGGCUAGAGGAGGUCUCUUGGACUCUCUAGCCUUGUGACUUUCAAGAGAGAAUGGUUUCUAUUUCAGAAAUCUCAAUUCUCAUUCAUCUCAAAAGUGCCAAAUACAAGUGAGGAGCUGGGUAUUUAUAAUGUUUGUUUUUAUCUAUUCCUGCACUUUUACUUACAGUUGACUUUACUAUUUGCGUAGUCAACUACAUUGUUUCACUGCACACGAAUUUUCAUUAAUUGCAUUUCAAGAAGGUUUGAAAAGUUUUAUACUUUGAUUUCAAGAUUGCAAAAAGACUUUGAUUUUGAUAAACAAACAAUUCAUCCCCUCGCCCU
rnacentral:lncRNA from 1 species